AUUUUUUAAAUAUAGAUUUUAUGCAAUAAUGAAACGAGACAGCUGUGCCUAUUUACUAAUCUAAUGAUUUUAUGUCAUUGUUUAUAGCACACUGAAAAUUGGUGCACAUUGAAUCCUAAGUGAUAAUACUUUGAAAGGAAAUAUCACAUAGAGGUUUUCAAAUGUAGCAGAAAAUUUGAAAGUCCCUGGUCAAUUACAAUUAUUC